rnacentral:rRNA from 1 species
GGGAUAACAGCUGGAAACGGCUGCUAAUACCGCAUAAGCGCACAGAGCUGCAUGGCUCGGUGUGAAAAACUCCGGUGGUAUGGGAUGGGCCCGCGUCUGAUUAGGCAGUUGGCGGGGUAACGGCCCACCAAACCGACGAUCAGUAGCCGGCCUGAGAGGGCGACCGGCCACAUUGGGACUGAGACACGGCCCAAACUCCUACGGGAGGCAGCAGUGGGGAAUAUUGCACAAUGGGGGAAACCCUGAUGCAGCGACGCCGCGUGAGCGAAGAAGUAUUUCGGUAUGUAAAGCUCUAUCAGCAGGGAAGAUAAUGACGGUACCUGACUAAGAAGCCCCGGCUAACUACGUGCCAGCAGCCGCGGUAAUACGUAGGGGGCAAGCGUUAUCCGGAUUUACUGGGUGUAAAGGGAGCGUAGACGGCAAGGCAAGUCUGAUGUGAAAACCCAGGGCUUAACCCUGGGACUGCAUUGGAAACUGUCUGGCUCGAGUGCCGGAGAGGUAAGCGGAAUUCCUAGUGUAGCGGUGAAAUGCGUAGAUAUUAGGAAGAACACCAGUGGCGAAGGCGGCUUACUGGACGGUAACUGACGUUGAGGCUCGAAAGCGUGGGGAGCAAACAGGAUUAGAUACCCUGGUAGUCCACGCCGUAAACGAUGAAAGCGAGGUGUUGGGGAGCAAAGCUCUUCGGUGCCGCCG